GCAUUUUCCAACUUGUUUGCUUGUGUGAACUUGUAUUUCUGUGCUGUGGGUGAGGUCACACACUCUGGGCCGCUGAACCCCAUCUGUGGAAUGGGGGUAACAGUGGCCUUGGCUUCCCAGGGCACUGCCAGCAUCAGCCAGUGCUGGGGGGCAGGCGAGGGGCCUCCUGAGGCUCUGGGACCCCCAUGUGGGGUUACUGUGAAUCUCUUGAGGUCUCCCCUGCAGGUGGGUGGGGGCCAAGUGCAGUGGUGGCGCUUUGAGUGGGCCUUGGCAUCCCCUCUAGUACCCGCACGCCAUCAUCCACUGUGCCCAUCCCUGCCACUGUAACCUCCGCCUCCAAGAAAAGGCUCAGCUUCUGGCCCAGAUGUCAUGGGCGGCAGCCAUGUGCAGCGGCUGAUACGCUCUGCAUCAGUAACCAGAUCAGUGCUGGGGUCAAAUAACUUUCUGCCGGGCAACAGAAUCCCUGCCCGGGGCCGCCGCCGUUGUUGGUCCUGACCGUGGGAUGAGCGUUGAAAGACAACGCCUCUGGGUGGGCCUGGGAGGGCAGGGCGGGGGCUGAGGGGCUGUUGGGACUGGGUGUCCACAUCUAAGGGAGGCAGAGGGGGCAGGACCCCCCGAGGGCUGCUGCAGAGCUCCAGGCUUCUCCUUGGAAACAGCCUCUCCAGCCGGCCUGUGGUGCCGCCUCCUCCAGCAAAGACCUCACAGGCAGAGUUCUGCAUGGGGCGGCCACACCUGGAUUUGGGCUAUUUUGUCUCCAGAGUCUUAAAAGGCCACCAGAGAAGGUCUUGAGGGGGUGCCCUGCCAAGUGACAAUUCAGAAUAAAAAAAGAUGCAGUCUCAGACACAAAAAGUGUUUCCACUUCCCAAUGUUAGUUUUGAAGAGCCUGGGGCCUCCUCGCCUUGCCUGCAGGCUGGGCUGACCGAGGAGCUCCCAGAGGUGUUCAGGGUCUGAGGUCCACCCAGCCCCGCUCCAGGCCCUGUGCGUGGGCUCCUCCCAGGGCAGGCGUCUGGGGGCCCUCACAGCCAGGCGGGGCCUGAAAGCUGAUUCCUGUAGAGGGAUUUUCCCUCAGAGACAGAGGAGACAUUGUGCCUAGUGAGGCUGAGCAUGGCCCAGUGGGGGCAGGAGCCCACCUUCUCUGUUCCUGACCCUGAGACAAAGCGGCCUCCCCCUGCUGUCAGGCCACGCGGCGGCUGGUGGGGGGCUUGGGAGCCAGAACGCUCCAGAGAGACGACUGCCAGAGGCCUGAAAGCCACUGCCUGUGGUGGCCACUGCUUCGAGACCUCCUUCCUCCAGAUGGAGGCCCUGUUCCCCGCUCCUCUAAUCAGCCCUCAGGGAGGUGGUGCACUCAUGAAAAUGGGCAUAGGGCUGGGUGCGGGCGGUCAUCCUGAGGUGCCAAAGGGGAGGGGAUGGGUCACCUCUGCCAUCACCCUUGGUUGACCUCCAGGCCAGGUCGGAUUCCAGGGUCAGCUCCCACCAAGUCUGGCAUCCUCAAACACAAGCCCUUCCUAGGGCUGACCAUGGCCCCUGCAGCAAGCUGAAUCAUGCUCCUCCUAAAAUUCAUGCCCUCACAGAACCUAAAAGGUGAUCUUUUCUGGAAAAAGCAUCUUUGCAGAUGCAAAUUAAUUGACAUAAGGUCACAUGGAAUCAGGAUGGGCUCUGAACAAGGAAGUAGGGUGUCUUUAUAAGAAGACACACAGGGAAGUGCUCAUGUGAAGACAGAGGCGGGGAUGGAGGUGAUGUGUCUAGAAGCCAAGAAUGGCCAAGGAGGGCCAAGGAUGGUCGAGGAUGGCCAAGGAGGGCCAAGGAUGGUCGAGGAUGGCCAACGAGGGCCAAGGAUGGUCGAGGAUGGCCAACGAGGGCCAAGGAUGGUCGAGGAUGGCCAAGGGGGGCCAAGGAUGGUCGAGGAUGGCCAAGGGGGGCCAAGAGGGCCGAGGAUGGCCAAGGAGGGCCAAGGAUGGUCGAGGAUGGCCAAGGGGGGCCAAGGAUGGUCGAGGAUGGCCAAGGAGGACCAAGGAUCGUCGAGGAUGGCCAAGGAGGGCCAAGAGGGCCGAGGAGGGCCAAGGAGGGCCAAGAGGGCCAAGGAUGGCCAAGAAUGGUCAUGGCUCACUGAGAACCGCUAAGGAAGGCCAAGGAGGGCCAAGGAUCAUCAAAGAUGGCCAAAGAGGACCAAGGAUGGCCAAGGAUCGCCAAGGAUGGUAGAGGAUCACUGAGAAUCGCCAAGGAAGUCCAAGGAGGGCCAAGGAUGGCCAGCAACACCAGACCUGGAGAGGCUGGGGACAGAGUCUCCCUCAGAGCCUCAGAAGGAGCCAACCCUGACCUCCCCUGGAUCUCAGGCUUCGGGUCUGUAGAACUGUGAGAGCACACAGUGUGUGGUUUGAAGCCACCUAGUUUCUGGUACUUUGUUACAGCAGCUCCAGGAAAUAAACACAGUCCCUGAGAGCCGCCCAGGGCACCCCUGCUGGGACACCCAUCUGGCCGGUGGUCAGGGCUUCAGGUGGGACCAUCUAGUGGGACUUGUGUGUGCCUCUACUCUGGGGGCAUGGCCAGCCCUCAGCCUCUGCCACAAGGACUCGGUCCAUUCCCAGGAAGGGCAUCCCCUGCGUUCAUCUCCCAGAGAGAGCUGAUGCUCAGGCCUGAGCUGGCUCUCUGCAGCUGUGCGUACCCUGGGGCCGGCUAACACCUCCUGGGAGCCCGGCCACCUACCCCAGCUGAGCAGCUUACCCAAGUCACUCCUCCCUGGCAGGCUGCUCAUUAGAAGAGGGGCUGCAGCUCACAGGCAUGAGAGAUUUCCUUGGGGACACUCCCUGUGUCCCUCAGAAGGACCUGGGGGUUUGGGGGUCACCCCUCCAAAGGACGCAUUUUCAGUAAUUAAAGAGGCAGUGGGGCCUGGAAGAGGCUGAGCCAGCUCUGGGCUGGGGGAGAGGUGGUUGGCGGAGUUCAGAGGCCACAUGUAGGGGCCAGAAACUGUGCGCUACCAGGUGACCAGAGCUCUGCUCAGCCCCUCGCGUGCAUCCUCCCCCCAGGACAUCAGUAUUUUCUCCAGCACCACCAGGGGCGUCCGCUGGCCUGGACCCUCAGGGACUCUGGCCCAGGGCAGGGUUCUGUGUCACAUCAGCACAAGGGAGGGUCAGAUGUGCUGCCCACGACCCGCCGAGUCCCACAGCUGAUCUGCUCACUCGCCGAGUUUGAGAACCAAGGCUGGGCAGGUAGGGGGGUGAUGACGGAAUCAAGGGGGGGUGACGACGGAAUCAGGGGGGACAUCUGUGCUUUAGAUCCUGACCCCAUGGAGUCGGAGCCUGCCUGUGCCCGCAGGAUCAUGCCAGGGCCUCAGUGCUUGGGUGGGGGCCAUGCAUCCAGUUCAGAGGCCAGCAUCCAGGGAGGGUGCCAGGUCGCUCGGCUGUUCGGAUGUUGUCACAGGGGAACCUGCUGGCUUCCGUCCCUGUGAAUGAGGCUUCAUGUCAGGUACAGUCUUUUGGCCAGGAAUGAGGGCAUGAGCGAGUGAGCUGCCAGGUCUGUGUCCGAGGACCCUGAGCCCAGCCAGGAGCAUCGCGGGGAGUGUGGAGAGAUUGUCUGGGAGUGGCUAUAGGGUUUAGGAAGUCUUUUGAGGGCCUGUCAAGAUGGCCAGGACUGGCAGGCGGGGCAGGGUGGCAAAGGUGGCCUCAGAGAGGAGGAGAGUGAGCCCGGCAGGCUGGGGGCGACCCUGCAGGCGGAGCCCCCUCCUUGGGGCUCCUAGUGCCCCAGGCCCCACUGUGGGAGUCCUGCUCCGCACCCACUUUGUAGAGUGGCUGGGGAGAGACGGAGGGAGAGACGGAGACCCCUGGAGGCCCCAUGCUCCCUCUUGGCGGCAUCAAGGCUACACCAGGACUCUCUCCUCUGGCUGGCAGGAGUGUCCAGGAGGGGCUGGCCCUGCUGCUGGUAGAUCCUCCUCCCAACCCAGACGGAGGGAGGGUGGCAGCCCCCACCCCUGCAAGCUCUUUCUUUCCUUUUCCCAAAGUUGAAGCUUCUCCUGGUGCCUCAGCAGCAACCCCUUCACCAGCCCCGUCCGCUGCCCGCAAUGUUGGUGGAGUAAGGAGAUGAGGCCCGUGCAGAGCCGGGGGAGCCCCUGGGGGGUCUCUAAGCUGAACAGGCCUCUUUGACAUCAUUACAUAAGCCGUCACAUUGUCACAGGCCACGGCCAGGAGUUGUAAAUACUCGGGGAAAAGCCCUCUUUGUUAUGAGGUUCUGGGAUGUGAGACCUUGCAGCUUUUACUGCUCAGGAUUAAAGGAAGCCAGGCCUGCGGGGAAGUGCGGCCGCUCCCAGCACCGGCCCUCGCCUUUGUCGGUGCUUUUUAUGACUGCACACGUGGGUUUCCAGGCGGGAGCUGGGGGUUCCCUGGCCUGGGACCCAGCAGGCACUGGCGGCAGCUGGCGGGGCCCCUGAUCCUCACGGACUUCCUCCUCCCUCCGCUGUCUCCCCGGCCUCCCUGGGCUUUCCAGGAGAGCCGUCCACGCCUGCUGUGGGAGGAAGACGCUUUCCUGAGGCAGGGGCCAGGCAGCUUCUGUUGGCGCCUGGAACAGCUUCCGCUCAUCGCUUCUGGCGGCACACACUGCGGAGGUGAGACUGCAAAUGCCGCCCGCCCCACGUGGUGCAGGCUGAGUGCUCUGGUGUUUGUCCAAGCUGUUCCAAGCCCAGGAGGUCGGACUCUCACCGUCGUCUUGGUGAUGGCAACGCUGUGUCCUGCCCCACCUCGUGGCUGCCCCCACCUGUACCGGUGACAAUAGCGUAUGGCUUCCCGCACCAAGUGCACACAGUACACUAGCGACAGGCACAAAGGCAACAUGAAACGGGCUGCUCUGUGCUCGGGUGUCGCAGAAGCACGGGCCAGAGAGCCGGUGGCUGCCCAGGACCAAAGGGACCCACAUCGACCUGCUGGGCACUGGGGCCUAGAGAGUGACCAGAGCGUGAUUAGAAGAGGCCGGAUCACAGGGAGCCCCAGUCCACUGAACCACAUCCAGAAGGUAGAAAGGUUGUUUCUCUCCCCUGGAUGCCUGUGGGGGUGGGGACGGCAGAGCCUCGGACACUGCCCGGGGAUCACUCUCAGGCUACUUUUCCCACCCUGCCAAGCUGCUCGAGACGUCAAAGGAGACCAGGCCGGUCAGCACACAGGCUUCUGGUAAGUGCCGCCCUCCGGUCUGGGAGCUCAGCUCUCCCCUUCUGACUCACCGCUCGGCGCUGACUCAUCGUGACGGCGAGUGGGGCUCCAGCUCCGCGGCAUUUCAUAGACAGCGCGGUCACAUUCCUUUCCAACAGUCGCUCUGGCCUCGAUGUCUAAGGCUCCGUGGGCAGCCGGCCUGUGGAUGAGGCGGCGGAAACCACAUCCUCUUCAUCAUCCUCUCACGAGGAAGGACACUGACAGCUUCGGAGAAGGCUGCCCAGUGUCUGCGGGUGCCCUUGGGAGAUGGCCUUGGGACACGGUGCCUGUGCCUGUGUGUGUACACCACGUGUGAACGCCAACUGGGAACACGGCCCCUUCGUAGGCAAACCCAGGCCUCCUGGAAGUCACAAGUUGAUAGCUGUACUCGCCCCUUUUGGAAGACGCACGCCCAAGGCACCCGUGUGUGCACACGUAUCCGUGUGUGGACCUCUGUCCACACGUGUGUGUUUUGAAAAGCCUUUCUCACCACAUGUUAGGAUCACAAGUGUUCAAAAUCUAGGCACACUUUUCAGAAGUUAUUUCUGGAAAAAAUGUUGAAUCUCAUAACAGCAAUAAAAGGAAAAUACCGCCUCAGCCAACAUAAAUGUCUCCUUGGAACAUGCCUGAAAAGCGGCGGAGUAUUUGUGUAAGUUUCAAUUCCAGCGUCAGAGCCUGCAGCUUGGCCGAGGCCGGGUUCUGCACAGGAGGGUGCACGGUCCCUUUCCGAAAGCCCCUCACCGGACUUCUGGGAACUCCCAACCCAUCCCGGGAACCCCACCUGCCGGCCCCGGAUCCGGAUGGGCUCCUGAUGUAUCCCACAGAGGGGAUGCCAACGUCAGACACCAGCAGGCUGGGGAGGAGCGGCUGUGAGGUGCAGCCGGCGGGUGGGCGGCCAGCCUCCAGGACAGACCUCGGAGGAGGCUGGGGGCUGCCUGCUGCCCUCGGGGCCCUGUGGUCCCACCACACCCGUGCCUGUCCCAGUGAUCCUCAUGUCACCGGCCCAGUGAGAGGCUGCUGCUACCAACCCCGCCAGCCUGCAGGCCGCUGAGUGCUGGGCUGCUCCUCCUCAGAGGAUGAGCGUGGGAAUAACCCAGUGGGGCGAGGAUGCUGACGGCGCCAUGGAUGUCCACUGAGGGCCCGAGAUGGGCCAGGCCGAGCUCUGUGCUUUGGAGUCAGAUCUCAUUUAAACCCAGCAGCACAUCCCAUUUCACACGUGGGAAGGUGGGGGAGUCAGGAUCAGAGAGCAGGGUGUCGCAUGGGGGAGCAGCCGGGCUGCGAUGUGAACCCUACAGUCUGCCCAUGAGCCGCACUCCUGGGCUGGACACUCCAGAGCCUUCUCAAGCAGCUUUCUUGGGGCUCCCUGAGCACCUGGCUGGAUGCUGCUGGUCUGGAACUCUGGACGGGGGCCCCGGGAGCUGACCUGCAAAGCUGUAGAGCGACUGUGAGGCACUGGCAGCUUUGCAGCCCCUCUGGACCCAGGGUGGGGUGGGCUGAGCAUCUGGCCUUCUGGGUCUAUCUGGGAGGCAGGGCUGUCUCAGAUCUGGGGCCUUCUGAGAAAGAUGUCGAACCCAAGCUUCCUUGGGGAAGGAGGCAGAUGGACCCCAGAUCACUCUCCUGGGUGUGAAAUCAGCUUUGGGGGUGCCUUCGGGGUCGGGCAGAACUGGGCUCACCCAGCUCUCGCCUUUUCUGGCUGUGUCACUUGGGUGAGCUCCUGAGCCUCUCUGUGCCUCGGUUUCCCUGUUGAUUAGGUCAGGCCAAGGAUUAAAUGAUGGCAAAGUCGUACCACGCUGGCUGGUUUUGGGCCUGUGGGGAUUCUUCAUCAUUUCUUCUCUUUCUCCUACUGCAGCUCCAGGCUACCCUGAGAUUUGCCUGCUGGGUCUGGGCUUCAUGGCGGGGCCAGAUUGGUGCCUCGGAGCAGAGGGCACAGGACAGAGCGGGCACCAAUGCACGGGCAGGUUUCCAGGCACUUUGGGAAGAAAUAAGAUCCCACCCAAGAACCUCUCCCCAACUCUGGCCUUGGCUCGUCCUGGUUGUUUCCAAAAGUGAAAGAAGGCAAAAGAGUGAGCCGAGGCCCACCGGGAACAACAACAAAGACCCGGCCUCGGAGUGGCGGCAGCGCCGCGGCCACUGCAGGAGAGCUCUGGUUUCUAUUAGUGGGAAGCGACGGCUCCGUCUCAGGACAGAGCUUGGGCCAUCAGCCCUCGGCGGGUUAACCCUUCCCCACCUCACUGCUCUCACAGGCAACAGGCACCCCUGAAGCUGGGAAGUCCUGGGGCCGGGUUCAGCUGAGGACUCCCUGCAUCCUGCCACCACCACCAACCAUGCUGGCGCUCACACACACACACACAUACGCACGCACACACGCACACACAUGCCUACACACACCCACACGUCUCACAGACACACACGCACACUCACAUGCAUGCACACGUGCCCACACAUGCCCACAUGUCUCACACACACGCAUGCCCACACAUGCACACACACUUAUAUGUGCACACAUAUGCACAAUCCACACCAGCACACACAUGCACAUACACAUACACACACACAGACAUGCAUGCACAUACACACCCAUACAUGCAAACACAUAUUCCUACACAGGGACACUCCACGCCAGGGCCAUGUCAUCUGAGGCCAAAUGAAGAGUUGGCAGAGGAGGAAGGCCUGGAGAGGUAGCGUGGAGGCCAGAGGAGGCCCUGGUUGAGACGUGCUUGCUGGUUUGGCAGGUGGAGGGACUUGGGGACCAAGUAACCCGGCUCGGUCAAACAUUCUCUCCCCAGGCACGGAUGCUGUGUCCCUGGGGAGCCCAACCUCCCCAAGUGGAGCUUGGCUGAGACCCCUCAGCAGCUCCGAGGGCCCCUGUGGGUUGUGAUGCCAGAAACAGGGCCAGAGCUCAGAGGAGGCACAGGGACUACGGUUUCCGUUGAAAGACGGCUCAGGGUCACCGGGCUCAGCAGAGGGAGGGCGCUUCAGGGGCGGUGACCGGGUCGCUUUAGGAAGAUGGGUGGGGGGCACUCGACUCCCAAGGCUGAGGGAGGGGAAAGGUGUGUGCACACUGCAGGCAUCCGGCCUUUGGGCCCCAGAGUGUGCCGGGCAGGUGUCAUCUCCAUUAACAGCUGCAGCCGCUGUGGAGGUGGCUGCCACCAUGAUACCCAUCGUACAGGUGAGGAGGUGGAGGUAGGAAGGGCGUGGCCUGUCUCAACCUGACAGGGAUGUGUGUAUGUGGCCACAUGUUGACUUUUUGUUUUAAAAUUUGGAUUCUACUGGGGAAAAAGAUUACAAUAAAGUGUCUGUGCUGCACCCAGGAAGGCAUGCCCACUGGGUAAGGCUCGGCACCAAGCGGCCUCUCACUGUGGGUCAGGCUCGCAUGGGGCGGGUGUGCCUGGCCCCUGUGUGAACCUGGAGCUGGCCAUGGGGAGAGGCUGCUCUGGGGCUUUUCAGAGAAUCCGUGGUUGAUUCCCUCAAGGACUCCCUCAAGGGGGCCACGCUCCUCCUCCCUGGGUCCCCUCCCUGGCCCCCACCCUUCCCUUUCUCAGGUCCUCCCUCUGACAGUGGCUGUAGCCCUCUGCUCCUAGCCCAGGGCAGCCCUGGCCUCUGGAGUCACAGUCAUGUGUUCAAGUCUCGGCCCCUUUCCCAAGGUGAGCUGGUCCUGCAGGGAUGCGGGAAGUGUCAGAAUAUGAAAACAACCAGGACAAGGACAGCUCAGCUUACCCCGCUCCAGCACCUUCUCCAGGUCAAGCACUUGGCCAGCCCUGUAGCAGCCUCCUCAUUCCAUCUCUCUGGUGUUUUACAGAUGAGAAAUGAGCACAGAGAGGUUAGGAGCAUUGUCCAGUGCCACAGAGCUGGCAUGUGCUUGUCUGGGCUGAGAACUCUAUGAAGCCUUGGAAAUGCUCCCCACAUAUGGAGCAGUGUGUUCAGGCCCCAUGGCCUGACCGGGAGCAGGAGGGAAGGACAGGCUCAGGUCUCGCAUCCCGGGAAGAAUUUCUCCUCAGUGCACCAGGGAAUAUCGCCUGACGACGGAAUCAGGUUUCUUUCCCCAUGACCCCUCCACCAUUAGUGUUCCCAGAAAGCCAGGGGCUGCUGUGCCCAGAGGAGGUGCACCCUGGGAGCCCUGCCUGCAGGACGGGAAGCAGAGCCCCCUCAGAACAGAAACUAGGAACAGAGGAGGGACAAGGGAGGGAGGGCAGAAGGUCCGGUGCCCUCAGUUUCUAUCCAUCCUUGGGUCGGAAACCUGGGAUGGAAUGAGUGAGGAGCUGGGUCCACAGGGACAGGAACUGGGGGAUACCAGGGGCUAGGGCUGCUCAUCCUUUCCCAAGGAGGAGCCAGGGAAAAAUUAAGCUCAUAGGGAAUGUCGGGUUCACCGGGCCUGGCGGACUCCAGAUCCCAGAGGCAGGGCACCCACACAUCUCUCACCGGCACGCACCAGGGCCCCGAUAGCCGGGCACCAUCAUGGCGAAUUACAUUACAUUGCAUUACCCGGGGACCACUAUCAUGACCACGUUGGGAGAGGAAACUGAGGCACUAAGCUGCCAAAGUCACGCAGCCCACAACACUGGAAGGCAAAGCAGCCGUCUGGACCCCAGAACUGGAGCUGUCCCCUCACUGGGCGAAACCCAGAACCCAGUGUUUGCUUCUUUCUCAGAGUAGCAAGAAGACAUGGCAGAGCUGCCCUCAGGCUGGAGGCUUGCAAGCCGGAGGCGCACCACUGUCUAAGCAAACCAGGCACGAGGAAACGCAUUCGCAAGCCUGAGAAGAUGAGUGGCCAUCACUGGCAUCACCGAAAUGGCCUCCUCAACCGGACGGGAAGAAUCCCUCCCCCAGCUGACUCCCCGAGAUGCUCCAUGCCCCACGUUCCUGACCUCCUAGGGGAAGGAGCAGGAGGAACCCAAGGCCAUCAGAGGGGCCUGGACUGUGGGUGCUGCCAAGUCUGUAGGUGACCCGGUGACCAUCCCGGUUUGCAGGGGACCAAGAUUCUUUCUGGGAUGUGGUGCUUUCAGUGGCAACAAGAAGAGCCCCCUCGGCAGCCCUGGCAAUCCAGGACAGUGGGUCGCCCCCGCACGGCCUGACGCUGUGGCGUGGAGUCUCCAGCGGGGCAGCACUGGGUUGGAGGAGGGAGGAUGCUGCCAGCAUCACGGGGAGGUCACAUGCCAGACACUGGUGUCUGAUUUCCCCUUGAGAGAGGUUUCAUCACUGCCCCGUCCUUGGAAAGGGUCACCCAGUCAGACUACAGAGCCAGGACCAUGAUCCAAAGCUGAGCAGUGCCCACCAAAGACAGUGUUCCCAGUGCUCAGGAGCCCUUGGGCCUUUAUAAGGUGUCUACCGUGGGACUAAAAAAACACCUGUCCCCAGGUGACAGCAUGCUGCCUUUGAAACACAGCUCUGUGAGAACACACCUGGCAAAGGCAGUCUUGGGGGCCACGCGGCAGGGACCCCUUUCCUUUACCAACUCUCACAGGCUGAGCCGCUCUUGCUGUGAAUGUACGUGGCCUUGGUAUGUUCUCCAGCAAGAUUAUAAGUGGAGGAUGGAGUCAGCUGGGAAGCGAGGCUCAGAUCAAGGAGGGCUACUACCAGGAUCCCUGCAGAAACAGGGACACAGGGAGAGAUGGCUGUAAAAUCCUUGAGCUUUAAGGGGUAAGCUCAUGGAGCCCUGAAAAAUAUGACUGCAUUGCAAAUGCCAACUUGUAGACACAAAUAUCGUGGAAGCAGGCCACGUUCAGCCUUGCACACUGUGCGCUCUUCCAUGACUGAGAACGUUAGUCACCUGCACCCUGACCAACCUCUCAUCCCUGAAGCCUGCUGGGAGGUGUCUGGGGACAGGAACGAAAAUUUACAAUGUUCUUUGGUUGUUUAAUUUUGAAUUUUCUCCCUCAUUAUUAUUGAAACUGAAACAUCUAAGAGGACACCCAGAUUUAUCUGAAACCGGAAGAUGACACGUAUGAAGGAUCAAGCAUUCAUCACAAACACAGGCAGGCGAAGGAGACCAAAACACAGCUAGGACCAUGCCAAGCGUCGGUGAUGAUGUGGAGAAAUGGGGACCUGCCAGACACUGCUGGUGGGGAGGUGACAUGGUGCAGCCACUAUGGAAAAUAGUCCAGCAGUUCCUCGAAAUGGAAAGCAGGAGUCCCAUGACCCAGCAGUUCCAUUUUCAAGGAAGUCCCCAAGAGAAAUAGAAACUUACGUCUUCACAAAAGCUUGAAAAUACACAUUCAUAGCAGCAUGAUUCAUAACAUCAAAAAGCAGAAACAGCCCAAAUGCCCAUCAGUGGAUGGAUGGAUAAGCACAAUGUGGCCCCUCCAUACGACACAAUAUUACUCAGCCAUAAGAACGAGUGAGGUAGCGGCACAGGCCACAAAGUGGGCGAACCUGGGAACCACGGGACUGAGUGGAAGGAGCCAGUCACAAAAGGUCAUGGGCUGUCUGAAUCCAUUCAUUUGAAUUUCCAGACUAGGCAAAUCCACAGAGACAGAAAGUGGGUUGGUGGUUGCAGUGGCUGGGGGCAGGGGGACAUGGGGAGAGUGCGGAGUGAGUACUAAUAGGUGUGUGGUUUCUUUUUUCAGUGAUAAAAAUGUACUAAAAUUUAUUGUGAUGGUUGCACAAGUCUGUGGCUGAAAACCACUGAAUUGUACGUUUUAAUGGGGUGCAUUGUUUGCGUGUGAAUCACAUCUCAAUAAAGCUGUUUUUAAAAUGCAAUUAUUGCACAAUGCAAA
rnacentral:lncRNA from 1 species